rnacentral:rRNA from 1 species
CCUACGGGAGGCAGCAGUAGGGAAUCUUCCACAAUGGGCGAAAGCCUGAUGGAGCAACGCCGCGUGGGUGAAGAAGGUCUUCGGAUCGUAAAACUCUGUUGUUAGAGAAGAAAGCGCGUGAGAGUAACUGUUCACGUUUCGACGGUAUCUAACCAGAAAGCAACGGCUAACUACGUGCCAGCAGCCGCGGUAAUACGGAGGUGGCAAGCGUUAUCCGGAUUUAUUGGGCGUAAAGGGAACGCAGGCGGUCUUUUAAGUCUGAUGUGAAAGCCUCGGGCUUAACCGGAGUAGUGCAUUGGAAACUGGGAGACUUGAGUGCAGAAGAGGGGAGUGGAACUCCAUGUGUAGCGGUGAAAUGCGUAGAUAUAUGGAAGAACACCAGUGGCGAAGGCAGCUCUCUGGUCUGUAACUGACGCUGAGGUGCGAAAGCGUGGGUAGCAAACAGGAUUAGAUACCCUUGUAGUC